rnacentral:lncRNA from 1 species
AUGAUCUCUUACUUUCUAUUUUUAAUUUCUAUUUUCUAUUGUAAUUUGUGUAUGUGUAUCCAUGUUAUAAAAAAUAUUAUAAUUUACCUUCGGAGAUUCAUUGAUGAAAUAUUUUAUAUUAUUCCCUCUUCAAAGGUAUGUAAGGCAAAGUCGUUAAUUCCUUGGAUUUUGAACAUGGAAAAAUAUACUGUGAACCUUGGCAGAGGAUAUCUUACAGUCAAUGAAUCUCCUAUAACUUGGUUCAUCUAAAAACUAGUAAGUUAUCUGUCAUCGUGGUAAGCAUUUUAUUGUGACAUGGCAGUUUUAAAUAACUAGUGAAUGACAUAAAAGGUGUUUUGCUGUGUGACCUUGGUGUAUGCCAAGCAAAAACAAAAACUAUUACUGAUGAUGAAAAAUCUUACUUUAAGGGCUAGAAAUAGAUCAUCUUUAUCAUUUAAAAAGGUGAAACUAUGUAGAAAACUCUGUGGGUUAUUGUCCGGCCUUUUCUCUUUCACAGUAGAUAAUAUUAACUCUAGAAUAUUUCCACAACCAUUUCUUAUAAAUUAACUUAGUCAGUUAACUAUUUGGUCAAGUUAGUAGAACAAAGGGGCAAAAGAAGGUUACAAUAGAAAAACAAUAGCUAACUUUUAAACAGUGCUUACUGUAUCAUUUGACAGAUUUCAUACAUAAGCUCAUUUAACACGACACUUCUGAAAGGAACAUAUCAUUAUCCUAUUUUGUCAUUGAAGAAACUUGGUCACAGAGAUUUUAGGAGUCAUGUACCAAUGUCACUAACUUAGUAAGCAGCAGACCUGAGAACUCAGUCCCUGUUCAACAGGACAGUGUAUUAAUUUCCACUUUCUACCGUUUCUACUAUUAAUUGUAGAUUUCUCCUAUUUCUCCUAAUUCCUACUAUUAAUUGCUACUAUAAGAAAUUUCCACAAACUUAGCAUCUUCCAACGACAUAAAUCUAUUACCUUCCGGUUGUAGAAGUCAGAAGUCAGAAAUGGGUCUCCUGAGCUAAAAUCAAGCUGUCAGCAGGGCUGGAUUCUUUUGGGAAGGCUCUCGUGGAUGAUCUAUUUCAUCCACUAUUCUGGACGCCUUUUCCAAUUUCUAGAGGAUGCCCAUAUUUCUUGGCUGUGGCCCCAUUCCUCCAUUUCAAAGCCAGUGACUGUGAGCUAAGUCCUUCUUACACCGCCACUUCUUUGGUUCUUUAUAGACACAGCUUCCUCUAGAUCUUUUUUAGGACUUUUUAGCCCAUUGGGAUAAUCCAGGAUAAUCUUCCUAUCACAACAUCAGCUGAUUAGCAGACUUACUUCCACCUGCAAUUUAAUUCAGCUUUGGCAUGGAAUGUAAGAUAUGCACAGGUUCCAGCCAUCAAGGCCUGAAUAUCUUUUGGGAAUCAUUAUUCUGCCAACCACAGACAUCAAAGCCUUUAUUUUUAGCUUUAAGCUCUGAGGCCUCACCCAGCCAGGGGACUUUCACAUGGGUAAUAAAGUUAGGAACACACGCCA